ACCAUCAAAUCAUCAAACACAAUCCAGAUCUGGGUUCAUGAAUAUGUUGUCAGAGCGAAUCUGGGAAAAAUCUGGGUUACCCAGAUUUGUUCUUCAGGUAGAUUGGUCAACGUAGGUUUGACCAAGAUUAAUUGUCAUUCUGGUCAUGAUCUAAGUAAAAUAAAAGCAUAGAUAUGAAGUUCUCAUGUCAGGUUACAACAACAAAACAAUAACUUGACCCAACUCUUU
rnacentral:lncRNA from 1 species